UUGCCAAUGAUGAAAUCAGUUAAAAAACACCAUCUUUCGGGACUGAAUGGCCUUUUAAGCCUUGCUGACAUUUUCUGCAAUUCUGAGGCAU
rnacentral:snoRNA from 1 species